rnacentral:rRNA from 1 species
AGCGAACGCUGGCGGCAGGCCUAACACAUGCCAGUCGAACGAACUCUUCGGAGUUAGUGGCGGACGGGUGAGUAACACGUGGGAACGUGCCUUUUGGUUCGGAAUAACUCAGGGAAACUUGUGCUAAUACCGAAUGUGCCCUUCGGGGGAAAGAUUUAUCGCCAUUAGAGCGGCCCGCGUCUGAUUAGCUAGUUGGUGAGGUAACGGCUCACCAAGGCGACGAUCAGUAGCUGGUCUGAGAGGAUGACCAGCCACACUGGGACUGAGACACGGCCCAGACUCCUACGGGAGGCAGCAGUGGGGAAUCUUGCGCAAUGGGCGAAAGCCUGACGCAGCCAUGCCGCGUGAAUGAUGAAGGUCUUAGGAUUGUAAAAUUCUUUCACCGGGGACGAUAAUGACGAUACCCGGAGAAGAAGCCCCGGCUAACUUCGUG